rnacentral:tRNA from 1 species
CCCCUCAUAGCUCAGUCAGUAAAGAAUCUGCCUGCAAUGCAGGAGACCCAGGUUCGAUUCCUGGGUUGGGA